rnacentral:misc_RNA from 1 species
CAUGUGAAUACAAAACUUUAUUUUCUAGUUUUCUUAGAAAACUUAUCCAGAAAACUAGGCCAAUUUUCCACAGUGAAUAGACCCAAGGUUUCUCAACAGGCAAAACUUCACCACACAUCUCAACAGUACUCAGCAUGGAAAGCACGGCUUAGUAUAACCAAAUGACAGAUCUACACUUGGGCCAAGAGGGGCACUAGGCCCCGUUAGACUUCA